UACAGAGGGGGCGAGCGUUGUUCGGAAUUACUGGGCGUAAAGGGCGCGUAGGCGGCCCGCUAAGUCGAACGUGAAAUCCCCAGGCUCAACCUGGGAACUGCGUCCGAUACUGGCAGGCUUGAAUCCGGGAGAGGGAUGUGGAAUUCCUGGUGUAGCGGUGAAAUGCGCAGAUAUCAGGAGGAACACCAAUGGCGAAGGCAGCACUCUGGGACGUGACUGGCGCUGAGACGCGAAAGCGUGGGGAGCAAACAGG
rnacentral:rRNA from 1 species